CACUCCCUUCCCCAUCCUGUCUCCUCCCACUCCCGCACACGCGCCGCCACUCCCUUCCCUCCCGUCUGGAUCUCGCCCCCUCCUCCGCUCCCUCCGCCGUGCCCGAUCCGCCGCUCCCUCCGGCGACGCGCCUCCGCCGCCCCUCUGCCGCUGCGCCUCCGCCGCCCCUCCGCCGCGCCCUCCGCCUCACUCACUCCUCCGCGCCCCUCCGCCGCGCCUCCUCCUCCGCAUCCAUCCGCAGCGCCCCCCCCUCGCCUCUCCCUCCGUCGCUCCCUACGCCGGUUCCUCCGCCGCUUCCUACGCCGCUCCAUCCGCCGACGCGACUCCGCCGCCCCGCCGCCGCUCCCUCCGCCGCGCCCCCUUUGUCGCCCUCCUUUUCCUCCCCACCACGCCGCCUUCCUUUCGUCGGCUCGUCGCCACUCCGCCGCCGCUCCCUCUGCCGCGCCCCCUCAGCCGCGCCUCCUCCGCCGUCCGUCCCUCGCGCCCCACUCCACGCCGCGCCCCACUCCGCCCCAGCUUCAGAUCUAGAAGCAGCGCGUCGUCAUGGACGGCAACGGCGACGACCACUUCUCGCAGCCGGAUCCGGCCUUCCCCUCCGGCGCCUUCGACCUGUACUCCCAGGCGGAUUCGUAUCAAGGACCACGAUCCGGGAUGCAGGCCUUGGAUCUGAACUCCCAGGUCGACGAGUUCCCCGCCUUCAGCUCGUACGCCGACAUCCUCCGGAGUGACCACGGCGGAGUUGCUCGAGGGGGCGGUGCUCGCACACCCGGGCUUCGCGUGGCCCACAAUGGCGGCGGAGACAGCAGAGGAGGAGGCGCCACGAGAGGUGGCGGCGCAAGUGCUGACAAGGGUCGCGGCGCCGGGGGGAGCAGAGGAUGCGGCGCCGCGAGAAGCAGAGGUGGUGGUGCAAACCGUGUCGGCGGCACUGGCGGUAGCAGAGGUCGUGGGCGGGCGACUAGGAACCUAUUCAUUGGUUCCGCGUCUGCUGGUGGUGCUGCCGGCGGCGGUGGACGCGGCGGUGGACGUGUGGGUGGCCGUCGUCGACGUGGAGGCAGUGACCAUGAAGAUUAUGUGUAUGCUGACGAAGGAUACGCGCCAGAGGUUGCUGAUGGCGUGGAAGUGAUAUUUCCUGGCUCUUCAAAGCUACUCAAUCCUCCCAAGUACUUUACACCUCUUAAUAUGAAAUGCUAGUGUGCUGGAAGACUUGCUUGGUUUGUUUACUAUACAUAUGGUUUCAACAAUGAAUAUGCUUCUUCGUUUUACUGGUCAUAUUAUUUGGGAAAUAUGGUUACAUGUGGUCAGGAUCCAUACCUCAUAUUGCACUGUCGUAAGAGGAAUCGGGAGUUCGUCCAAAUGAUGUUAACACUCGGUAUGUACUACGAAUCUUACAUACACAAAGCUCCAAGGAGGGUUGCAUCAGUGACGGGCAUUGAAUGGGUAACAGAAACAUUAUCAAAUCCGACCUCUUGUUAUAACAUGUUUAGGAUGAGUUGCCCAUUAUUUAAUCAACUUCAUGAUCUAUUAGUUGACUCAUAUGGUUUGAGAGCCACUCGAGAUAUGUCAACAGUGGAGGCCUUAGGAAUGUUCCUAUGGAUAUUAGGUGCACCGCAGUCACUUAGGCAAGUUGAGGAUCGAUUUGUGAGGUCGUUGGAGACAAUAAGCCGUACGUUCGACAAAGUGUUAGGCACUGUUCUUAAGCUAGCAGUACAUAAUAUUAGGCCACAGGACCCUGAAUUUAAGACGGUGCACAAGAGAUUACUCAACCCUCGGUUUGCUCCGUAUUUCAACAACUGUAUUGGAGCUAUUGAUGGGACACACGUUCCAGUCGUGGUGCCAAGUGAAAAGGUCAUGCAAUAUACAAACAGGCACGGGUAUACCUCACAGAAUGUGUUAGCUAUUUGUGACUUCGACAUGAGGUUUACAUUUGUUGUUAGUGGAUGGCCAGGAUCGGUCCAUGAUAUGAGAGUGUUCAGUGAUGCCAUAGAAAAAUACGGUGACAAGUUUCCACAUCCUCCUACAGGCAAGUUUUACCUUGUUGAUUCGGGGUAUCCAAACCGUCCCGGUUACCUAUCACCUUACAAGGGUACGAAGUACCAUCUACCGGAGUUUCGUAAUGGUCCAAUGCCCAGAGGUAUGCAAGAGACCUUUAAUUAUGCACAUUCAUCCCUUAGAAAUGUUAUCGAGAGGUCAUUCGGAGUUUUGAAGAUGAAGUGGAGGAUACUGAUGGGUAUACCAAGUUUUCCAAUGCACAAGCAAAGCAAAAUUAUUGUGGCUUGCAUGGCAAUUCACAAUUUUAUCCGAGAGAAUAGUGUUGCCGAUAGGGAAUUUGAUUUGUACGAUUGUGAUGAAAAUGGUGUCCCAAUGCCCGGAACUUCAAACCGCGGAGGAGGUGAGACAAGUACCCAAGUAGAAGAAGAAGAUAGCAACAUGAAUGCAUUUCGAGAUGAAAUAGCUCAUGCCUUGUACAAUAGGUCUAGAUAAAUUGAUUUCAAUGUUGUAAUGAUAAUGUAUUUGUAGUUUAAUUUUGGAGUUGUUGGACAUUGUAAUAGACAUAAAAUUCCCUUCUUAUGCACUGGUGUAUGACUGAAA